GAUGAAGAACGUAGCGAAAUGCGAUAACUAAUGUGAAUUGCAGAAUUCAGUGAAUCAUCGAGUCUUUGAACGCACAUUGCGCCCGCCAGUAUUCUGGCGGGCAUGCCUGUCCGAGCGUCAUUUCAACCCUCGAACCCCUCCGGGGGGUCGGCGUUGGGGAUCGGCCCUCCCUUAGCGGGUGGCCGUCUCCGAAAUACAGUGGCGGUCUCGCCGCAGCCUCUCCUGCGCAGUAGUUUGCACACUCGCAUCGGGAGCGCGGCGCGUCCACAGCCGUUAAACACCCAACUUCUGAAAUGUUGACCUCGGAUCAGGUAGGAAUACCCGCUGAACUUAAGCAUAUCAAUAAGCGGAGGA
rnacentral:misc_RNA from 1 species